rnacentral:rRNA from 1 species
ACAUGCCUACAACAUAGCGUUAAUGCACUGAAUCUCGUUAGAACUCUACGGUUAAGCGUGCUUGGGCUAGAGUAGAACUAGGAUGGGUGACCACCCGGGAAGUCCUAGUGUUUUACAUGCC